AUUGAACGCUGGCGGCAUGCCUUACACAUGCAAGUCGAACGGCAGCACGGGAGCAAUCCUGGUGGCGAGUGGCGAACGGGUGAGUAAUAUAUCGGAACGUGCCCAGUAGUGGGGGAUAGCCCGGCGAAAGCCGGAUUAAUACCGCAUACGACCUGUGGGUGAAAGCGGGGGAUCGCAAGACCUCGCGCUAUUGGAGCGGCCGAUAUCAGAUUAGCUUGUUGGUGGGGUAAAAGCCCACCAAGGCGACGAUCUGUAGCUGGUCUGAGAGGACGACCAGCCACACUGGGACUGAGACACGGCCCAGACUCCUACGGGAGGCAGCAGUGGGGAAUUUUGGACAAUGGGCGCAAGCCUGAUCCAGCCAUACCGCGUGUGGGAAGAAGGCCUCGG
rnacentral:rRNA from 1 species